ACCGUGGUGCAACGGAUAGCACGUAAGCCCUCCGAAGCUAAAAUUGUGAGUUCGAUUCUCGCUGAGGGUA
rnacentral:tRNA from 1 species